ACACUGCUGCCCACAGAACACUUGAACUGUACCCCCACACUUAGGGGAUUGAGGGCUUGGCCAGAAUGUGGCUGACACCCUGGCUACAGUCCCGCUCAGAGAGGGAGGCUGGACUCUGGAUGUACCUUGAGGCCAACAUUCCUAUGCAAGUUUGAUUAAAAAAAAUUGGUUUUCCUGCUUCUGUGUGUCCUCGAGCUGCUUUUGUACUGUCUCUGCAGCGCUGAGCUCUCCAGCUUAUGAAAUACUGGUGUUUCCAACAACAACAGUGAUGCAGAGAUCCAGAGGUGGAGGCCGCAGCGGGGAGGAGCACAGGAAUCCCCUGUGGCAGGAGGAAAUGCCAGGACAGAUGGGUGCCAGGUCCCCUCCGCAGCCAUCCAGGCAUUGUUUCAUGGUGAAUUACCAUUCCUCCUGCUUCUAAGUUCUUCUCAGCUCUCUCCUACUCAAACCCACACUCCAGGGGCCUUCUGAGGUCUCAGCUCACUGGUGCUGUGCUCAUCUCCCCAGCUCCUGUCCUGUGUUUGGGAUGCAUCCUUUGCAAACUCACCAGCCACCAGUUAAUGCAGCCUCACAAUUCCUCCCUUCACUGCCCCACUGCUUCCCCCUGCCAAAGCCAAGGGCGAGGUGCUGAGGCUGGAGAGUCUUUUCAGAUGUGGGGAAUGAUCACUCAAUGCCUGCCUGGCCAGAGGACUCUGCAGCAGAAAUAAAAGGUGGAUGUGCUGGAAGCUCCAGCUUGGACGGAGCCCAGGCCACGCGUGCGGAUGGAUCUGGCUGUGCCUGGGGCAGCUGGGAGCACACAGUGUCCUGCACUGCUGUUCCCAAGCAGUUCCAGGCACUGGAACAUCCCAAGAGGAUACUGCAGCCUCACCCUCAGGGUUUUUCUAACAUUUGACCGAGUCCCACAAGUACAAGCUGCUCCCAAACACAAGCAGCACUCGCUCAGUACUGCUGGCUUCCCUCUGCCCUCCCUGUCCUGCCGUGGUCUGCUCUGAUUCCCCAAACACAACUCCUCCACUGCUGCCUCUGCUAAAGCAACGAUGGACCCCAGCCCUGAGAAACCACAAUAGAGCCUCACCAAGAAAAAAAAAAAGAUAUCAUCAGAGCAACUGCUCCAGCCAAAGCACUCGGAAUGCUACAGAGAUGAGGAUGAAGAAGGAAAAAAACCCACCCUAACCCUGAAGGGCUUUUCAGCAACUCUCCUUCUCCUCACCAGCCUUUCCUCGCCGUUCCAUGAUUUCAUCCGAGGUGGGUGGUGCGCUCGCUCUCCCCCGCGCAGCCUCUUCCCAGCGGCUCCCGGGAUCCCUGCCAGCUCCUCUCCACCCACGGCCUCUCCCGAGGAGCAGAACCACGCUGCCAGGGCAGAGCCUCACAUCUGGGCUGGCUCUGCCAGGGGAGCCAGGGAGCCCCUCACCUAUCCCCCUGCACCUUCCAGGGCUUGGCAUCUCCAGCCCUGCAUCCCACGGGAUCCCCGGCUUCCCGCCCAGGAUGCGGCGAUGGUCACUCAAGUGACUCGUGAAUGCAAGAAAGCUGCAACCCCAAAUUUGAGUUUAGGAAACAGCUCUGUGGGUUGAAAACCAAAUGAAAACUGCCCUUUUUAAACCCUUUUUUUCUGAGUUGCUCUGACACAUAAAACCUCUGCAUGGAUUUAAGCAUUCUCUGGAUUUAAGCAUUCAUUUAAGCAGGAGCACCAGGCAGUGAAGUCAACUGGUCCCAUGGCUUCAGAGAUUGUGGAGCUGAAGACGGCAAAGCAGGUUUGAAUCAGAUUUUCAAUCUGUUAAGCCAAAAUGUUAAAAUUGAAAAGAGCACAGGACAGCUUCUCAAACCUCUUGGGUUAUUCCCUCCGCUCUUCUGCCAUGAUUUUAAAAAAUUAAUCUUCUCACUAUUCCUCCCAGUGCCAUUUCUGUGAGUCCAUAAAACCAUUUUCUCCUUGUCAGAGAAUUCCAACGCUGGUGAUUUAUAGGAUUUGCUUGGAACGCAGCACACAAGUACUUCACUUUUUCAUUCGCCCUUUCUAAAGGUUUUUAACGAUCUGCUUCCUCAGAUCUGUUUACAUUUGGGACAUUAAAAGCUAAGCAACAACUCCAUUAUGAGAAAGAACACCAUAAAAACUCCACCAUUGCCAGGAAACAUCUCAACACAGUGACAAACGUAGCCACUCUCUCGUCCUGCUGCUCAUCCGUGGGAAGACUGGUUUAUAAAUUAUUCAUGAGUGCCUGAAAAUUUCCAGGCUAAUCUCAACUAAAAAGUGGGCGUUUUUACACCAUUGUUUCACUCCGAAGUUCUCCAACUGGAAUUUUGAUUUGCAUAGCGAAAUCUUGAAAAUUUACUUGCACUGAAUUUCUCUUUCCUUCAAGUUGUGAUUUCAGUUCUCACACUGGAAACACAGUGGAGAGUUUUUACGUGACAACUUACUUGGAAACCUGGAAAUCCAUAAUUCCCAUGAAUUUCCUGAGAAAUUCAGGUCUUCCCAGAAGUGAUUUUUGAACAGGUUCGGAUUUAUAAGGAUUUUGGCACCUUCCAGCAGGCAAUCCCAUCACCCCAUGGCAUUUUUAGUAAUGAUGAACUAUAUGGGGGACUUAUCAAGCCAUUCUCUUCCCAGUCUGUUCCACAGUAAGGACAGACAAGACUGAAGAUUAAAUCAUGGCACAAUAUAAUUGAGAAAAUCGCUUUGUGGUCCUCUGGAGGCUACAAACAGAUCAGCUCACUCACCUGUGCUCGUGGAUUUUACAGCUGUCAGUCCGUUCUGGGAUUUAUUCCACACAGUGGCAUUGGAGUAUCCUCCAUGUAAAAUCAUCAAUUAUAAAUAAAUCCCACUGGGUUUCUAUGCAGUAAUGUUAUAGAAGAACAGUGAUGAUAUUUGAGGCAACAGAGUUCAAAGAGUUGUCUUACAUUCCUCUUGAUGUCCACGCUCUGCCAUGCAUUGCUUGGCAAACUGCUGCCACAGCUGGCUCCUCCACACAAUUCUUUUGAUGCCCCUUCCCUGCCACUUCAUUCCAAGCUGUGCUGCUCCAAAUGAGGGUCACUGUCUGGCUUUCCAGCCUGGAAUCCAGCCAGAAAUACACGUUGAUUGCUUUGGGAAAGUAGAGACCAAAAAAACCAUUCCUCUGCAGCAAUAUGUGAGUAAUUCUUCCUGUGAGGGUGGUGAGGCCCUAGAGAAGCUGUGGUUGUGCCUGGAUCCCUGGCAGUGUCCAAGGCCAGGCUGGAUGGGGCUUGGAGCACCCUGGGGUAGUGGAAGGUGUCCCUGCCAUGGCAGGGAGUUGGAACUGGAUAAUCUUUAAGGUCCUUUCCAACUCAAACCAAUCUGUGAUUCUGAAUUUCACAAGCACCAAAAUACUGAACUCAAAAAAAAAAAAAAAAAAAAAAAAAAAAAAAAAAAAAAAAAAAAAAAAGGAGAGUUGAGCCUUGGGAUCACAAAGAUUUUUUUUUUCUUUCCCCAAGGGGGCAUUAAAACACUUUUUUGACAUGGAAAAAAUGGUUUUAUUGACUUGCUCCCAGGACUGAACACAGAUCAUCUGCUUCCAUGGCAGGUUCUCCAGACAGGAAUCCUCUGGGGGAGACAAACACGAUGCUGAGAAGGCAGCACAGACAGAAACUGCAUAUAAGGGGACUUAAAUACUCAGGAAUCCAGGCAGCAGAGCAGGCAGCCACACAUUGUCUCCAUGGAUUGUUCUUGGAAAGUUGUUAGAAAUCCAGUAGAGUGAGAAUGACAUCAGGAAAAACAUUUUUUGCCUCCUAUUUGAAGAAGCUGAGUGGGAAUAUCUUCUGACCCAGGUCUGUAACCAUUACACUGACCAGUACACACUGAACAUCCCCUCAACAGCAGAGGUGGGAGGACGCAGCUGGGCCAGCUUGAAGCCCCAAAGCUCUGGAUGUUUCCAGAGAAGAUGCACCUGCAGCACCUGGAGAAGAGAACUCAGCAGUUUGAUGGACCACUGUCAGAAACCAGGAGAGCAGAGCUGUCCUAGUGAUACCUGAGAAGUGACAACCUCUCCUUGCAGGUAGCUUAACCCAGGUUGCUCCACUGGAUUUUGCUUCACUGCCCUCACUGGACCUGAUGCACCAGAUAGUUAGGAAUUCUAACUCUAUUUUCAUUAGGAUUACCCAAACAAGGAAGAAUUCGCUCUGCUGGCACCUUCAGACUGCUGUGAGCUCUAACAGCCUUUUUUACUGCCCAGCAAAGCUCUGCCAACACAAGCCUCUGCUGUUUCAUACUUAGCAAAGGUCCCAGCAGGACUCGACCAGCCCACAGUGAAAGCCACAAUACCCGAAUUUAUCCUCCUCAUACCUCUGCUGCCCAUUCUGGCACUGCAAAUGUGUGCUAAGGACACAGCAGAUCCCACACAAACAGGUUAUUUUUGGCUGAGAAGUCUCAAACUGGCUUGAAGAAAUCAGGGAGCAUCUUGUAGAAUAGCACAAUUUUGUCUCGUUUACUGUUCCACUCUUUCAUAAGCAUCUUAUGCCUGGAUGUUUCACCAAUUAAUGUUGGAUAUUAUAUCAAUUAUAACAAAAAUUAUAGUUCUGACCCUCAAUCUAUUUGCUGUGAAAACAAAGCAGUUUUUCACAUUCACCCCAAGCCCCCACUCAGCAUGAUCAGGUUAUUUUCCCCCUAGAAUCCCAAUAUACAAGGGAUUUCACAGAACAUCCGUAUGUAGAAACCUGACAUUUAGAGACUGUGAUCCAAGAUCACAAAAAUUUCAGACAAAUUAAUUGCAACUAUUGAAAAAAUGUGUACACUGUCAGACAUUUCCAAAAUAUUUCUGCAUUAAAAAUUUUCCAAUAGACAUCAUCUUUCUCUCCCUCUCAUCCAGCACAUCUUAUAUUAAUCCAGAAGUGAGACUUUUUUUGGGAGAAGCAGUUGACUUCCAGUGCUUCUUUUGGCUUAGUCCAAGUGUUGAUUUCGUUUUAACAUCAUUCCAGAACACCAGCAACAGGACAAACUUUUCUGGCCAUGGAAACAAUCCCCCUGCACGCUGCAUUUUGUGAUUUCUGUAGGGUCUGUCACCAAGAGGAUGGAGCAGACUUGAAAACAAGUCUUAAACAAUAGUUUAAGUUACCCACUGUGGUAACUGACUGGCGUUUUGAGACUGGUGCAGGUUUGUAGGCACCAUUUUCCACCCAAAUCUGAGUUGAGAGCAAAUAGGAUAAAUAAUAAAAAAACCCAAACAAACUUGUUAUAUACAUUUCCCUCUUCCUCAGAUAGAUGUUACUCUGAAAUGCUUCUGUUUUCAUCAGGCAUUUUUCUUCCUUUUUUCAUCCUUUCUUUCCUUGUUGCUGUAAAGAAGAUCCACUGUGAGCAGGUGACAAUCUUGGCUGUGAGCACACAGGCACACCAGCAGCAGUGCUCAAAUCUGAAAAUGGAACUUUCACGAGAUCCAAGCACCUGGCAGCUCCAUUUUUCUGACUAUAUGGUGCAAAGAACCUCUUGCCUUUCAGUGGAAAGAAUUAAAAUGUUAUUAACCUUCUUCACCUGUUUCUGCACCACUUUGUAACUGGUCUGAACUUUAGUUUUUGUGUUAACAAGUUUCCUUGAAGUCCAGGCAUUUCAGUCCCACAGGCACAGCACAAGCAGCAGAACUCGAAACAGAUCCAUCAGCUCCUUCAGGGACUUCCCACAAGAAAUCAUUUAAGCAAUUGUAUUCAUGGGAGCUACUUAGGCAGUGGAUGUGCUUAAAACACGGUGAUUACUUGUAAGCCACACUUCCAACACCAGUUAAUUCUGCACAAGAACAUCUGUCAAACCCCCUAGGAUAUGGAGCACUCUGCAUCACACUGCAAACCCCCCUUGCUGCUAGCCAGUCUACAUUUUUCCAUAUUUUCAUAAUUUGUUCCAUUAAUUUAAGGGCUUAGCCUACAGUCCUUUGUACUGAACACAGUGCUCACCACUUCUCAAAGCUCUACCUAAAAAGAGAUGGAGCAUGAGGAUGGAUUUUGUGAAUGGAUGGAAGCAAGAGACUCGAAAGAUGUCACAGAAGUCCCUUUUGGUCUGUGAUUAUCUUAAUUAAAAAUAAAGAAUGCUUCAUUCCAACCCUCUGCCAUGGGCAGACAUCUUCCACUGUCCCAGGUUGCUCCAAGAUCCAUCCAACCUGGCCUUGGAGACUUCCAGGGAUCCAGGAGCAGCCACAGCUUCUCUGGGCACCCUGUGUCAGGGCCUCACCACCCUCACAGGGAAAAAAUUUCCUCCUAUUAUCUAAUCUAACCCUGCUCUGUGUUUGAAGCCAUUGCCCCUUGUCCUGACACUCCAUCCCCCUUGCCAAAAUUCCUUCUCCAGCUUUCAACAGACUUUCAAUGUAUUUUCAUAUACAUAGAAAAAAUUCAGAGGGGAUAAAAGGAAGACCAACAACCAGCCACAACUUUAGAAAUUCCUCUGAAUAUUCAAAAGCAGCUCCACUUGCUUACAAAACCCCCUCUUUUUUAGUUAACCCAUAUGGAAUAGUGGGGAAAGCAGUGCAUUGCUGAAUUCACCAGGAGAUCCAGGAAAACAUCCCCUGCUACAGGGAUGCCUUGCUGCAGGUUGGUGUGUGAUGUGCUGCUGUAGAUUGUGUUAUUAAUUCCCAAAAAGCUGGAUGCAGAACAACCAGCUGAUUGAAGGAUGAUUUUCAGAGAUUAUCUUCACAGAUAAUGAGAUCCUGCUGGAACUGGGGACAGGACCCACCUUCAACUCUGCUUCCAGCCAGCUGUGUUUCUGAAGAGCUGAAAUUUCAGGGAAAUUCUUACAUAUUAAACACCCUUGGAGAGGUGACUCAGGUUGUUUAUGGCUUACUGUGUAAGGAGUCCACGAGAGGAGAAUGCAAGAAGCUCUCAGGCUGGCAGGGAAAACCUCCAUGAGAUCUUCUUUCAGCACGUCCAGAGUUUGGGAGCUGCAGAUCGGACGGUUUCCUGCUGCUCCUUUUAUUUCCUCAUACCUCACAGACAGAUCAUUAAACCAACAGGGUGGGGUUCUUCUUCUUUGAUCCAAAAUCCACACUGGUUAUUCUCACUGGGAAAAUCAUCUCCCUUGAUCUUCCCUCUCAGCACCGCAAGGCUUUCCCAACCAUUCCAAGGAUCAUCCUCACACACAGGACCUAAACCAAGAUCAUGGGUUAUACAUUUUACAAUUCUCCACCUCCCAGAGUUUAAACUUGUAGCAUUUCUGAAUUCAGCAACUCCAUUCACCAAAAUAACACACGUCCCUGUUUUGAUACCAUUUUAAAGCUUCCUCUCUGGAGCCUCCUGUGCAAAAACUCCCGAGGUGCAAUUCCCCAAUCACUAUAACCGAUUUCAAAUGGUGCUAGAAAUUCUUAUUGACUCUGAACACCAAAAGAAAUCGGUCAUCCUCUAAAGGGGUUACGGAGAUCUGCAAGGAUGAAGAGUUAUGUGCUGCACAGCAUUUCACAUUGGAGAAUCCCCAAAUACUUGAUGUAACUCUUAUUAAAGCGCUGGUGAGAAAACAAAAUUUUUAGGCAGUGAAAAUUUUCAUCAUCGACCAUUAGGUACACACAUUUUUAAAUACAGUAAAAUACUUCAAAAAAUAUGAACUUGAAACACUUCUCCAGAUUUCAGCAGACUUGGACAAUGUGACCAAUCACCUGUGGUCUGUAUUUCCAAUUCGCAGCUGCUGGCCACUUCCAUGAGCACAUCCAGUCACCAACCCGGAUGCUGGCAAGUCUCAUCAUACAAAAUAAAUAACACAUUCUGAUCUGCCAAACAUGCCACAAUGAAAGGCCAAACAUGCAGGAGGGAUGCAAACAGCACCCAGAAAGUCCAUGCAGAAUUACCUGCUUCAAAUUCCAUUAUCUGUCUUGUAUGAUACAUGUACAAAGUAUUUACAAGUGUGAAGAAGUGGAAAGAAAAAUAUAUCUAGGCAAGGCUGUAAACAGGUUUUGAGUUAAAAAUUUAGAGCGCAUGUAGUUCCCUUCCUUAUUCCUCAUCAUGUUGUAUGAACUAGUUGUAGUAGUUUUUACUCACUGGGGCAUUAAAAUCAACAUCUUCCGUACUGAAUUAAAAUUCUCUAUUUUACUUUUUUGCCUUGUUUCAGUCUCAAAACCCUCUUGGGUUCAGAAGUUGUUGCUCACCACUUACAAAUUUUAUAAACAUGAUAGCAGCAGAAUUUCUGCCUUUGAAACCACUCUUUGCAUUGCUCUCCAGGGGUAACCUGGGUCACAGAGCCCCAGAGUCCCACUGAGGGACUUUGUUUGGUGGUGGAGAUUAACUGGAAUGGCAGAACCACACAAGGAAGAUCUUGACUUCCUCUUCUUUUCCUCUGAGGCUCCCGAGGGUCCAUUUCCCUGAUGAAGGCAGGCAUUCUUCCUCCAAGAACACUGAUUUCAAAUGGUGCUAGACAAUGAAUAGUUAAAUCUAAACCACCAUAUGAAACCAGCUUCCUGAGGGAGCUUGAGUCUAGCUGGGAGGAUAUUCCUGUAACAAUAAAUUGGAAAUGCCACAGAAGAAUACCUAGCCACGUUGGGUUUUUAUUUUUCCUGUUAAACAGUUGAUGCGUUUUUCUUAUUCUUAUCCUUGACUUUGGUUUGAGUCACUCAAAUGCUCACUUCUGUUUUCUAUUACAGUGCUACCAACAGCAAGAGAAUUGCUUGCAGCAGUGUCACUCAGAGGAAUUUUGUCAGUCAAGCUUGAACAACAUGUACAAGGCUUUAACAAGGAAUGAAAGACCUUCCUCCUGCUUGUGCUGCUGUCUUCUAUUAACACAUUCUGUCUGCUGAGCUCUGCCCACAGCACGACUACAUCCAGGCACACCAGCAAACUCCCCCUGUGACAGCAGAACACGUGAGAUGUUACCAAAUCUUCAUUUCAACAGCAGCAGCACAAAGACCAGCGUGUGACAGAAGCUGCACAUCAGUGCCUGAAGGUUGAAUAUUCAUCCCAAAAUUCAUGCAGAGAGCCUGGAAACCUGCCCACCUGUCAGCUAGCUCUGGCUGAGGUGGGAUUUGCAAAUCUAGGGGGACAGUGUGUCUCCAAACCUAAAGUCCAGGGCUGAGUUGAUUAUGGGCUAUUCAGACCUGGCACUCAGCACCUGGAGCCAGCACAGCUUCUAAGAAGUCUGACAGAGGGCUCUUUCCUGGAAAUCUGCUACUGAAGUGUGUUCUAGACAAUUUACUCCCUUUCACACGGAUUAUUUUUUUUUUUCCAUAACCUCUCUGCAGCUCCCCAUCUCAGCUGGCAGAACAAACACCAGACCCGAAGCACAUCUGCAGAGCGAUGCCGAGCGAGCCUCGAGUGUUUGCACAGCCCCUCUCCCAGUGACACGUCCUGGGAAGCUCAGGGACAUCCCAGCCUCUCAGAAAGGAACCAACCACCCUGGGCACUGGCACAGAGGGCACCACAAAGUGUCUGCAUGGCCAAGGCAGGCACGAAGACACCACGUGCCCCAUCUGGUGCAGAACAACAGCUUCAAGGAAAACAACCCAUGGGAGCAGGCUGGGCCUCCGCAUGCAGGCAGUUCCUGCAGUUACUGGAAGAGCUGUCACCACGCCAGGCCACAUCAGCACUGGAUUUAUUGUGCAGCUUUGCUGUCCAGAAAGUGCCUGUGUGGAGCGGAGCAGGCAGGAAGCAGCAGGACGGGGCUGUGCCCGUGUGCCCAGGCUCUGCCCUGAGCAUGCAGCUGCCUGGGAAUCUUCCACACAGGCUCACAAAACAUUAAUGGGGGAAAUAAAGCUGCUUUAAAGAGCAGGCAGAACCAAACUCUUUUUUCUUCAGCCAUGCAGAAGCCCAGAAUUUUGCCUUGCUGCAGUGUUCUCAUGAGAGAAGCAUCUUUUACUCUUUCCCUCCUGCAGUGUAUUACACCUGGGUGUGCUCUGUAUCUGCCCCUGGAAGCCCUGUGAAAGCUGAUUUUAGUUGUUAAGAACCACAGAACCACUGAGGUUGGAGAAGACCUCCAAGAUUAUUGGGUCAAACCUUUGACUUUUUACCCCCUUGCUCACUAAACCCUAUCAUGAAGUGCCAGGUCCACUUGUUUUCUGAACACUUCCAGGGAUGGUGACUCCACCACUGCCCACAGACUGUUUCAAUGCUUAACCACUCUUUCAGUGAAGAAACUUUUCCUAAUAUCCAACCUGAACCUCUGCUGGUGAAACUUGAGGCUGUUUGCCAUUGUCCUGUGACUUGUUACCUGGGAGAAGAGGCCGAUUCCCACCUCAUCACAACCUUCCCUCAGGUAAAUAAUGUUGGUCUUCAGGUAAAUGAAGUCUUUUCCUGAGUCUCCUCUUCAAUCCUCAGCCAGUCCUUGUAGAACUGACAUUCCAGGCCCUAAACCACCACCCAAGAUGAACCCAUCUGUUGAGUCCUGAGGACAGGCAAAUAUUCUCCAUCUCCUUCUCUGCAAGAGAGAAUGUGAAAAAAAAAAAAGUUCUCACCAUGUAAAAAAAAUAUUUACACCUGUUCCUCAAGUUUCAUCACCUGCCAACACGCAGCUCCCUCUUCAUUUACCCCAAAGACAACAAACCCAACCAGCUCAGACCAGGAAUCCAACUCUUGAAGAGGGAAAUCAAGGCAGUGUGGACAGUUCUCACGAGGGUAUCUGUCAGCAGCACAGCCAACACACUCCUCUCCAGGAAAAUCUUCAUGAGAAACACCCAAGAAACCUGAGAUCCAUCUGUGAAACCAGGAAAGCAGGGGCUCUUCACAGCUCUCUGCCCUGGACAAGGCUAAUUCCUGCUGCAGCAUCUUUUCCAUGCAGUUGCCUCCAUGACAUCCACGGAUCUGAAGGUGAGGUCCAGCUGCCUGGCUCUGCCUUUAGCCUGGGGAUGGUUGGAGACCACAGCUUCUCCAUGUGGCUAUCCAGACACCAAAUUCUGCCAUUUAAUACAGUUUGCACUUCUGAAGAAAGUAUCUUUCAAAACUUGUAAUAACUCUGAGUGUUUCUAGAACAGGCUAGUGAGAAGCACGCUCGCACCAGGGCUGUAAACUGUCAUUUCUAAAUUGGAAAACCAAAUGAACUGCAGAUAGAGAGCCAUUGUGCUGCUCCAAGAUGCCUCCUUCUAAUUAGGUGCUGGAAGUUUUAGAACAUUUUCAAUCUUGGACUGCUCCAUCCUUCCCAGAUUUAAUGAUUGGAAGAGCUGAGGGCAAUUUCCUCGGUGAACUGGGAAGAAGAAGAACAACAGAGGAGUUAAUGUCUUCACAUUUACAAGCAAGAACCUGGGAAACAGGAAAGAACAAACCCAGAAUUCAGUGACUUAGGUAACAACUGUAGAUGGAAGAGCAUCUGAUUACACUUAGGUUUCUGCAGUUACAAAUUAAGCGUUCUGUAAUCCUCCAGAGAAAAUUAGGGGAGUGACAUGUCAGUGACUUUAAGCUCUAAUCUUACAAGCUUCGUAAUUCAUGUUUUUAUUUGACAUUGAUGGGAUCACUUGAAUGAGUAAAGUUUUGUCUGCAAUUAAAGCACUGCAAGAAUGAAGUUUACGAAGGCUUUGUUUUGCUGCUGAAUCAUUUUAGUGAUUUACAGGUGGUUUAGCUGCAUUUAAACACUUACUAGGGAACCCUCUCUCUUCCAGUGAUGAAUUCCUGCAGAAUUCCUGCACUUGGAAUGACAUGAGAACUGUCUGUGACUCCAAGUAACAAUUUCAUCCCAUUAAUCAGGGAUAAUCAGACAGAGCAUGCACUGGGUGCAACUUCCAAAGACUUCCAUGGUGGACUAAUGAUUCUGUGCAGGAAAUUCAUUAAAAAAUUUCUACUACUGCUUCCUUUCCACGCCCUGCCAUAACAGGAGCCAUGUAAAUGGGUUUUUUAGAGCUGCACUCACGACAGCUUUAUGAUCCAUCUGAAAGGCAGAGCCAGCCUGGAAAUCUGCAGACAAUGGCCUGUGAGAACAUCCCAGCUGACAAACUGCUCAACUCACUGUAACUUUUUAAAUCCCCUCUUUUUUUUUUUUAAUAAAAAUAAAAUGUGGAGCCGAGGGAAGAUGACAGAGUGACAAGUCUGCAGAAAGGCUCUGUCUGUACCAUGGGAAGGGACUGUGUGAACUUCCUACUUAACGUCUGGCCAUGGAUCUCAUUUAUGAGCUGCUGCAGACACCUCAUGGCAUGAUGGAGAUGGAGGAGCCACUGAGAAAUUAUCUGUCAACUGAAAAACCAAUUAAUACUAACUGCAGUGAGAAAGAACUGUCUACCCAGACAGAAACUGGGAUUGUGAAGUCAGCUAUAGAUGUCUUAAAGUGGAUUUUUUUUUUGGUCAUUUUCAACUUGAACUUAAACCACAGCUAUUGGUGAAAAGCUGCUUUAUCUUUUCUUUUUCUGCACCAUCAAUCCCCCUGCGUUUUCACCACCAGUUUAAUGAAUUCCAACUAUCAGGAGAGCUCAUCCGCUCUGUAAUUUGUCUUUUUUUGUUCCCUUCACUAAACAAGCAGGAAAAAUGUUUUUAAUUUGCAAGGCUGAAUAAAUACCUACUGUGUUUGCCAAGACUUUAUUGACAUUCAUGGCUGUCUAUAAAGCUGACUGACUUCUCACAGAGAUGGUUUAUCUCCUCAAGUAAAAAAAAAUAAACCUGCCCUAACAAGAAGAUGCUAAUCUUCCUUAAUAAAAUAAAUAAAAAGCAGCAGUUCAAUAAAUAAUCCUGUGGCCAGUGAAAGCCCUUCAUUCAGGAUAUGGUCCCAGAGCGGAUUUUUGUUGACAGCAAGAUCACACAGCACUGGGACACCCUCCAGUGCUCACUGCUGCCUGUGAUGCUGCACUUAUUGUCACCUUCAGCAGAACCAAUAUGACUGCCUGUGGGCCAUGAAAUUCAUUCAAAUGAUUCUAAUACAAAGAAAAAAUAAAAAUGAAGCCUUUCUUUUCUUGAGGAGUUAUUUUCAUCCAUCUGGUUUUGCACGCGGUCAGGGAAGAGGUGGCACUGCAUUGCUGCUGGGCUGGAAAUGAAUGGCUGGGAGUGGGCAGGAACUGAUUAAGCUGGCACCAGAAAAGACAUGAACUGUGGAAUUACACCUUGGAUAGCAUCAAAUCCCAUCUCUCUUGCUCAGCUGGUCAUGAGGAGUUGAGAUGAGUUUCAGCCUGCAAGGAAACACAGUUCUUGAACUUUCACGAGCAAAUCAAUACACUGAACUCUGAGGUUCUUACUCAGGUUUUACUGGAUUUUUACACAAGGCUCAACCUUCCCCACAGGCCUGUUUGCCUGAAUUUUUCCAUCUGAAUUCCUCUCACUUAACUAUUCUGUCAUCUUAAAAUGAGCAAUGUGCAAGAAACAAUCAAAGCCCCCACUGCUGGAAUUUCAUAUCAUCAGAAGGUCUGUGGUGCCUUGAUAGAAACAGUAAGAAAGAAAAGCAUUUGGGUCAUUUGGGAUGAAAAUAAUGACAAACCAUUGCUAAAAAGAUUCCUACACUGAUGACAGUACUUCACAUUCUCUCCUGUGCUUUGUUUAGCUGCACUGAGAAGUGCUGUGAAGUGAAGAGAUCUGGGGAACAUUCCCCUGGAACAAGGAAAGAGCUCUCAAAUGAAGGCAAUUAUUUCCACUAGUGAAAACAUCCAGUUUACCCAUUAUGCAAGCACAUCAUGCAUUUAUCUUUGUACUUUCUCAGCUCCUCAAAGCUUUGAGCCUGAUGGCUACAAGGUAUUAACAAUAACUGAUACCAAGGAGGGACACAGAUGUGCCAUACCUGAGAAAAAACAGCCUAUACCAUGUACAGCCUUAUUUGUGUACUUCUGGAACAAUUCAUUACUGAAAGGUCUGUCCUCAGAAUCCAGAAGAAGAAAACACCAGUAGCUGUUUGAGUUAGUCUCCUCUGUGU